rnacentral:rRNA from 1 species
GAUGAACGCUAGCGGCAGGCCUAACACAUGCAAGUCGAGGGAGAAGCCCUUUCGGGGGCAGAAACCGGCGCACGGGUGCGUAACGCGUAUGCAACCUACCUUUCACAGGGGGAUAGCCCGAAGAAAUUUGGAUUAAUACCCCAUAAUAUUAUUGGAUGGCAUCAUUUGAUAAUUAAAACUGCGGUGGUGAAAGAUGGGCAUGCGUCCUAUUAGCUAGUUGGAGUGGUAACGGCACCCCAAGGCUACGAUAGGUAGGGGUCCUGAGAGGGAGAUCCCCCACACUGGUACUGAGACAGGGACCAGACUCCUACGGGAGGCAGCAGUGAGGAAUAUUGGUCAAUGGUCGGAAGACUGAACCAGCCAUGCCGCGUGCAGGAAGAAUGCCUUAUGGGUUGUAAACUGCUUUUAUAUGGGAAGAAUAAGGCGUACGUGUACGUUGAUGACGGUACCAUAUGAAUAAGCAUCGGUA